AUAGGUAUAGCUCUGUGGUAGAGUGCGAGCUUAGCCUGCACAAGGUCCUGGGUUCAAUCCCCAGUACCUCCA
rnacentral:tRNA from 1 species